GGCGGUUCUCUGGUGAUGCACCGUGGAAUUGGGCUCCCUCCUCUCUGGUUCCAGGUGGGUCACCCAAGAACCACA
rfam:Myotis davidii contig155778, whole genome shotgun sequence.